CCUACGGGAGGCAGCAGUGGGGAAUUUUGGACAAUGGGCGCAAGCCUGAUCCAGCAAUGCCGCGUGCAGGAUGAAGGCCUUCGGGUUGUAAACUGCUUUUGUACGGAGCGAAACGGUCUGCUUUAAUACAGUGGGCUAAUGACGGUACCGUAAGAAUAAGCACCGGCUAACUACGUGCCAGCAGCCGCGGUAAUACGUAGGGUGCAAGCGUUAAUCGGAAUUACUGGGCGUAAAGCGUGCGCAGGCGGUUAUAUAAGACAGAUGUGAAAUCCCCGGGCUCAACCUGGGACCUGCAUUUGUGACUGUAUAGCUAGAGUACGGUAGAGGGGGAUGGAAUUCCGCGUGUAGCAGUGAAAUGCGUAGAUAUGCGGAGGAACACCGAUGGCGAAGGCAAUCCCCUGGACCUGUACUGACGCUCAUGCACGAAAGCGUGGGGAGCAAACAGGAUUAGAUACCCUGGUAGUCCACGCCCUAAACGAUGUCAACUGGUUGUUGGGUCUUCACUGACUCAGUAACGAAGCUAACGCGUGAAGUUGACCGCCUGGGGAGUCGGCCGCAAGGUUGAACUUAAGGAUUGACGGCUGAGAGNGCGAGCGACGACGAGGGAGGAGG
rnacentral:rRNA from 1 species